rnacentral:rRNA from 1 species
GACGAACGCUGGCGGCGUGCUUAACACAUGCCAGUCGAACGGAAAGGCCCUGCUUUUGUGGGGUGCUCGAGUGGCGAACGGGUGAGUAACACGUGAGUAACCUGCCCUUGACUUUGGGAUAACUUCAGGAAACUGGGGCUAAUACCGGAUAGGAGCUCCUGCUGCAUGGUGGGGGUUGGAAAGUUUCGGCGGUUGGGGAUGGACUCGCGGCUUAUCAGCUUGUUGGUGGGGUAGUGGCUUACCAAGGCUUUGACGGGUAGCCGGCCUGAGAGGGUGACCGGCCACAUUGGGACUGAGAUACGGCCCAGACUCCUACGGGAGGCAGCAGUGGGGAAUAUUACACAAUGGGCGGAAGCCUGAUGCAGCAACGCCGCGUGCGGGAUGACGGCCUUCGGGUUGUAAACCGCUUUCGCCUGUGACGAAGCGUGAGUGACGGUAAUGGGUAAAGAAGCACCGGCUAACUACGUG